rnacentral:rRNA from 1 species
ACAGCAGUCGCCACGGUAAUACGAAGGGGGCUAGCGUUGCUCGGAAUCACUGGGCGUAAAGGGUGCGUAGGCGGGUCUUUAAGUCAGGGGUGAAAUCCUGGAGCUCAACUCCAGAACUGCCUUUGAUACUGAAGAUCUUGAGUUCGGGAGAGGUGAGUGGAACUGCGAGUGUAGAGGUGAAAUUCGUAGAUAUUCGCAAGAACACCAGUGGCGAAGGCGGCUCACUGGCCCGAUACUGACGCUGAGGCACGAAAGCGUGGGGAGCAAACAGGAUUAGAUACCCCCGUAGUCCCUGUCUCUUAUAC